CGAAGGGGGCUAGCGUUGUUCGGAUUUACUGGGCGUAAAGCGCACGUAGGCGGAUCGUUAAGUCGAGGGUGAAAUCCUGGGGCUCAACUCCAGAACUGCCUUCGAUACUGGCGAUCUAGAGUCCGGAAGAGGUGAGUGGAACUCCUAGUGUAGAGGUGGAAUUCGUAGAUAUUAGGAAGAACACCAGUGGCGAAGGCGGCUCACUGGUCCGGUACUGACGCUGAUGUGCGAAAGCGUGGGGAGCAAACAGGAUUAGAGUACCCUGGUAGUCCACGCCGUAAACUAUGGAAGCUAGCCGUUGGGGGGUUUACCUCUCAGUGGCGCAGCUAACGCAUUAAGCUUCCCGCCUGGGGAGUACGGUCGCAAGAUUA
rnacentral:rRNA from 1 species